UUCUUUUUUUGCUGAAAAGAAACUUGUGAUUCCAUCUUGACCCUUCUUUAUGUUACCUCAAAUCAAUAAAGAAUAAAGUAAAAGAAAAUUGAUUAUUCACUACUUUCAAAUUUCACAAGCACUUAUUUUCUUUUCAAACAACAUCAAGUAGAUCUUCAACUGGGUUUCUCUAUUGACAACACCCAACGAUUUCUCCAUUUCAACAAUGGAACACAAGAUCGAUGCCAUGGCAGUCAAGAUUGAGGCCUUGGAAUUGAAAAUUAAUGGGUUGGUGAAUUGUGUGAAAAUGAAUGAAGAUGUAGCUGAUCUACAAGCUAGACUUGGCACUGAGUUGUACGAAUUAGAUGAUCUGCAUAGUUCGGAUAUCAGUCGAGCCAUAACCAUUUUAGCCACAAGACAUGAUUUGUUGAGGGUUUUCUUUGGUUUGCCUUCUCAGCUGAAGAAAUUAUAUAUUGAGAACAUUGGCGUGUAUGGACCAAAAGUCAUAUAGCUACACAUAUUUAUGUAAACUUUUCCAUAUUUGAUCUGUGUCAUUUGGUAUCGAAGGAUAAAUUAGGGUUUAUGUUAUUUAGGGUGUCGAGGAUCCAAACCAGUCAAAUGGUCAAAGAUUGGAUAUCCAACUAUGGUAAGAAUAGAUUUAAAAAUUUGGAUGCUAAUUGAAUUGUUAGCGGAUGGGAUUAUCAAGAUCCAAUCUCGACGGAACCAAUCCAACCUAUAUAUAUAUAAAUAUAUAUUUUAAUUA